GUCUGCACAACGCAUCACCAGGGGCAAACUACCUGCCCUCCAGGACACCUACACCACCCGAUGUUACAGGAAGGCCAUAAAGAUCAUCAAGGACAACAACCACCCGAGCCACUGCCUGUUCACCUCGCUAUCAUCCAGAAGGCGAGACCACAUGACCUUCUCCCAUUCCUGCUCUGGAUCAUCCAGAUGGUCAUUGGCAAACUUCAGACGGGCCUGGACAUGCGCUGGCUUGAGCAGGGGGACCUUGCGUGCGCUGCAGGAUUUUAAUCCAUGACUGCAUAGUGUGUUACUAAUGGAUUUCUUUGAGACUGUGGUCCCAGCUCUCUUCAGGUCAUUGACCAGGUCCUGCUGUGUAGUUCUGGGCUGAUCCCUCACUUUCCUCAUGAUCAUUGAUGCCCCACUAGGUGAGAUCUUGCAUGGAGCCCCAGACCGAGGGUGAUUGACCGUCAUCUUGAACUUCUUCCAUUUUUCUAAUAAUUGCGCCAACAGUUGUUGCCUUCUCACCAAGCUGCUUGCCUAUUGUCCUGAAGCCCAUCCCAGCCUUGUGCAGGUCUACAAUUCAACCCUGAUGUCCUUACACAGCUCUCUGGUCUUGGCCAUUGUGGAGAGGUUAGAGUCUGUUUGAUUGAGUGUGUGGACGGGUGUCUUUUAUACAGGUAACGAGUUCAAACAGGUGCAGUUAAUACAGGUAAUGAGUGGAGAACAGGAGGGCUUCUUAAAGGAAAAUUAACAGGUCUGUGAGAGCCGGAAUUCUUACUGGUUGGUAGGUGAUCAAAUACUUAUGUCAUGCAAUAAAAUGCAAAUGAAUUACUUAAAAAUCAUACAAGGUGAUUUUCUGGAUUUUUGUUUUAGAUUCCGUCUUUCACAGUUGAAGUGUACUUAUGAUAAAAAAAAAUACAGGCCUCUACAUGCUUUGUAAGUUGGAAAACCUGCAAAAUCGUCAGUGUAUCAAAUACUUGUUCUCCCCACUGUACAUCAGAUAACAUGGACUGCCACUCAUACAGGUAAAGACACCAGUACAUAACUUACACACAUUUCAGAGUUCAUACUGUAUAUUGUGUAUAUAUUUCCAAUCAACCAUUUUAUUUUUUUUAACAACUUUAUUACUUAGCUAUUUGUGGAUAUUUUUGUUUAGGAGAGCUUGCAAGUAAUCAUUUCACUGUACCGUUUACACCCUGUAUCCUGCGCACGCGACAAAUAAACUUUGAUUUGAUGAUCAACUCACCCUU